rnacentral:rRNA from 1 species
GUACGAGGGGGCUAGCGUUGUUCGGAAUUACUGGGCGUAAAGCGCGUGUAGGCGGUUGUUCAAGUCAGGUGUGAAAGCCUUGAGCUCAACUCAAGAAAUGCACUUGAUACUGGAUGACUAGAGGACCGGAGAGGAUAGUGGAAUUCCCAGUGUAGUGGUGAAAUACGUAGAGAUUGGGAAGAACACCAGUGGCGAAGGCGGCUAUCUGGACGGUUUCUGACGCUAAGACGCGAAAGCGUGGGGAGCAAACAGG